AGGUUGCUUUUAGUAUAUACAAUUUUACGUGGUCUUGGAUCUGAUGAUUACACAAUGAUAAAGGUUCGUCAGUAUUUGAUGUUCAACCGAUCUUCAGUCAUCUCCGAUCUUCAUCUCGCAGAUACGGAUUUUAUUUCAUCGCCACUGAAGACGAGCCUCUCAAGACUUAUCCCUCCGUUUGUGAGUCCUGUUCACAAAUCGGAUUUGACUUCAUGUCCAUUCGAUUCUUGGCUUUCAUCUCCUCAAAUCUUCUUCGCAAAUCGUAGAUAACUUUCAUGUGGUUUCUCGGCUUUCAUUUUUUUUGUUAUUUAUUAUUGAUAUUGAUAUUGAUUUUGACUCACUAUUGAUUCAAGUGAACCAUUUCCAACGAUUCAUAUUAAUUCUGGUUUUGAUUUCCAUGUUCUUUUCUUAUUAUUUUUUUGGUAUACAUUUAAUAAUUUAA